rnacentral:lncRNA from 1 species
UUCUUUUUUGUUUUUGUUCUUCACUGAGAUUUUAUAUUUCAUUGGAUUUUAACAUGACAUAGUACUAAUUUAUUUUUAAAUUUGUUUUAGUAUGGCUAAUAAUUUUUGGAUUAAGAAUAUUUUGUUCCCCAGCAAAAAAUUGCGAAUUUUCAAAAUUUCGCACAUUUUUAGUUCAAUUUUUUAACCCUGGUACUGACGAGAAAAUGGGCAGCAAUUCUAAAAAUGGAAAAUGGGCUGCAAUAAAUUCCAUAUGAAUGAGAAAAUGAGUAAAAAUUAUAAAAAUAAUAGCAAAUGGGAUGUACACGCCACAAAUUUCGAGGCUGACUUGUUUACGCAAGGUUUUGUCAGUCAACACACGAUUCUAGCAGCAGUGACUGUUGGAUGUCCAUCCAACGGCCGACGUGCUUCUGCAAUCUCUGAUCUUCCUCCUCCAGCCGCCUAAACCAGCGCCGGCGGUAGUGCCUGCUCCGUCCUCUUGUGGCCUGCUGUCAUGCCGCGCAGGCUUCACCGGCCCACCCUACUCCCUCCGCUGGCUUGGCCGCACGCAAUCAACUGCCUCCUUAUUACGCGGAAAAAAAUGAUUCCUCCCACUGACAUCUGGGCCGCAGUGGUUCGAAGGCUGACCUGUGGGCCUACUAAGUUGAUGCGUACGCAGGGCUUUGUCAACUUAGUCAACAAACAAUUCUAGCAGCAGUGACCGUUGGAUUGAAUCGAACGGUCCUACUGUUUCUUCAAUCGUUGCUCUUCUUGCACCAGCCGCCCAAACCAGCGCCGGCAAGACCACCUGCUCCUGCCUCCAGUGGCCGGUUGUGCUGCCGUUGAGGCCUCACCGCCCCCUACUACUCCCACCGCUGGCCAGGCCCUGCGGCGACGGCAGGCUCACACCGCAGCCGAACCAGUGAAACCUCGUACUCCUCUCCGCGUGGGCAUCCACUGCCGCGUCUUCCCCGGCUCCGCGUCGUCCCCUUCCUAGGCCUCACCGUCGUCCACCGCCCUGGUGCUCUCGGCGCGCUGUGGUCAACGUGGUCAACGAACGACAUCCAUCGGACAUGGACUUUACGUGGAGAGGCUGACAGCUGGGUCCAUGGCCGCACACAAGGAAAUGCCUCCUUAUUACGCGCAAAAUAAUGAUUCCUCCACCUGACAUCUGGGACCCACCAGAAGGGCCUCUGUAUUUCGCAAAAAAAAUGUUCCCCUGCUAACAGGUCGGACCCACCAGCUAUAUCUUCGCACGCAAGGAAGUGCAUCCUUAUUACGCACACAAAAAUGAAUACUCCCCCUGCUAGCUGGGACCCAGCUUAGUGGGAAGCUGACAUGUGGGCCUACUAAGUUGACGGGGACGGAGGGCUUUGUCAACUUAGUCAAUAUGAACGAUUCUAGCUCCAGUGACCGUACGAUGUCCAUCCAACGGCCGUAGUGCUUCUUCAACCUCUGGUCUUCUUGCUCCAGCCGCCCAAAGCAGCGCCGGUCGUGCCGCCUGCUCCUGCCUCCUGUGGCCGGUUGUGCUGCCGUGGAGGCCUCACCGCCCCCUACUACUCCCACCGCCGGUUAGGCCCUGCGGCGACGGCAGCCUCACACCGCAGCCGAACCAGUGAACCCUCGUACUCCUCUCUGUGUGGGCAUCCACUGCCGUGUCUUCUCCGGCUCCGCGUCGUCCCCUUCCUAGGCAUCGCCGUCGUCCACCGCCUUGGUGCUCUCGGUGCGGCGUGGUCAAUGUGGUCAACGACCGACUUCCAUCGGAAGAGUACUGUACGUGGAGAGGCUGACAACUGGGUCCACGGCCGCAGCAAGGAAGUGCCUCCUUAUUACGCGAAAAAUAAUGAUUCCUCCACCUGACAGCAGGGACCCACCAGACGGGCCACCGUAUUUCAUAAAAAAACGUUUCCCCCUCACUACUGGGACCCACUAGCUACAUCUUCGCACGCAAGGAAGUGCGUCCAUAUUACGGGCAAAAAAAUGAUUCGCCUCCUGACUGCUAGGACCCACCAGCUACAUCUUCGCAUGCAAGGAAGUGCCUGACCGUCGGGACCCACCUGAUCGAAGCGUACGUAGCAUUGUCAUUCUGGUCACGAUCGUGUACGUACAUACUGGUCGAUGUAGAGGCGCGCACGUAGCAUGUACAAGUACGUACAGCGGCCAGGGUGCAAGAAAGAAAAUACGGCCACAUACGUACAUACGGGCGGGGUCUCGAACGCCUACUCGCGCAUACGUUUGGCCAGGGCUCGUGUACAUGGCUGGGUCGGAACGAAGAAGUUGCACCAUCGUCGUGAUCAUGGGGAGGCAACCGGCUGGGUCGGAACGGAAUGCAUCGUCGUGUUCAUCGGGAGCCAACCGGCUUGGACGGAACAGCCAUGGAAACGAGGCCUGGCGUACCGCAGAAAGGAGGAAACGGCCUUGUGUUCGACCGGCCACGGUCGAAACGGGCUCCUGUUCAUCGGUAGGGGUCUGGCGUACCGCAAAACGGAGGAAACAGACCUCCUACGGUCGAAACGGGGUCCUGUUGAUCGGGAGGGGUGUGGCGUACCGCAAAAUGGAGGGAACGGACUUGUGUUGGAGCGCUACGAUCGAAAUGCGGGUCCUGUUCAUCGGGAGGGGUGUGGCGUACAGCAAAACGGGACUCCAUGGGAUACUGUUCAUCUCCACCGUCGACUGCCUCCACGGGCUAGUGUUCAUCCACCGUCGACUGCCUCCACGGGCUACUGUUCAUCCACCGUCGACCUCCUCCAGCCUCCACCUGCGACUGUUCAUCCACGGGCUCCUGUUCAUCCAGCCUCCACCGCGUGCUCCUCCACCGGCUACUGUUUAACCAGCCCUCUUCACUGGGUCCUGUUCAACCACCCCUCCACGGGCUACUGUUCAUCCAGCCCUCUACCGGCUACUGUUCAACCAGCCCUCCACGGGGUCGUCCUAUUCAUCCAGCCCUCCACGGGGUCCUAUUCAUCCACCCCUCCAUGGGGUCCUGUUCAUCCACCGGCUCGAUCGGUCGGGGUCCUGUUCAUCCAGCGGCAACGGCCUCUACUACCACGGGGUCAUGUUCAUCCAACCACCCACCGGGAACUGUUCAUCCAAACCCCCCAACAAUGCUCACUGUUCAUCAAGGGAACGAGGCAGCAGUGUUCGAUCGGCUUCAGUUAGUAGCAGUAGCGAAGGAAUCACUCGGGUUCAGUUAACAGCAAGGGAUCGAUCGAUCGCUCAGUUUCAGUAAUGCGUAGCCUGCAGUGCAAUCGCUCGGGUUUAGUUAGAGCCCAACGCCUCGCUCGGGUUCAGUUAGAGCGCAACGCCUCGCAUACACGCGCGUACGUAUGAGAGAAACGUGCAUCGCUCGGCCCCCGACCACCCACCGUAACCGGGAACUCCCCGAUAUUUUCCUCGCCCUCGCUUUCUACCACGGUUUUUUCCAUCAUGGACGGCCCAAAGAAUGUCAUGCGGCUGCGUAUCCGGCCCGCCCAGGACGAAAAGCCCAUUUUCUGUCAUGAUUUUUUGUCAUAGAAGUAGGAGCCCACAUCAUCUAUAAUGAUACCGGGUUUUGUCACAAUUAUCAUCAUAGAAGUGUCAUAAGCAUGACAGAAAAAAUUUGUUCGGCCCAAAAUGUCACGGAUGUGUCUUUUUUUUGUAGUGCAAGCCCUUUUGAGGAGGCUUCUUGGUGAAGUUGUUCUUGCUAGGGAAAGACUUGGCUUUGUCUUUGCGAAUGAGUUUGCCACCAUUGUCUUCCCUCUUCUCGUAAGGGCAAUCCGCCACAAAGUGACUCACAUUGCCGCAAUUGUAGCAAGUCCUUACUUGUUGCUUGUUCUUUGACCCACUUGAGUUGUUCUGAGUGAAGUUGGGCCUUGAGUUCCUCUUGUUGCUCCAAAAUUGCCUUGACGCAAGAGCCAUGUGCUCAUGGUAAGCAUAUUUGGUGUCCUCGGGGCCACACUCUUCUUCUUCCGGAAUGGCCAUGGCCUUCAAAGCAAGGGUGGGAGUGCUUUUCUUUGACCGGACACGACCAAGAGCAUUGUCGGCGGUCUUGUUCAUGAUGUUCAUGGCAAUAAACUCAUCCAACACUUCACUUGAGGUUAAGGUGUGAAAAUCCGGCCUUUGACGAAUCACAGAAGACAUGGCCUUGUUGAAUGGCAUGAUGGCCUUGAGAAACUUGCGCUUGAUCCAAGUGUCAUCUGUAUCCUUGCUCCCAUGGUCUUGGAGAGCAACCGCAAGAGUAGUCACCCUCCGGUAGAGAUCACGCGGAUCCUCAUCUUCUAGCAUCAUGAAUUCAUCGGCCUCAUCAAGGACCACUUCAAAGUUGGACCGUUGGAUGUUUGAGCUCCCCUUGUACAUAGAAACAAUGUGCUCCCAAUAAUCCUUUGCACGAGUGAAAGGAUGUAAGUGAGAUAGAUCUUCGGGUGGGACCGCAUCUUGAAGGAUGAACAAAGCGGAGUGAUUGUAUUGAUUGUCCACUUCUUCUCUUGGGAUGAAGUUGUUUGGAUCAUGCGGGUAGAAGCCUUGCUCAAUGAUUCUCCAAAGGUUAGUUGAGUAGUGGUUCAAAUGAGACUUAAUACGAAAGACCCAAUUAGCAAAAUCACCCUUAACAAGUUUGGGAGGAGGACCAUGAUUAUUAAUGCGAGGUGUAGAGACCGGUCCUCCAUAGACCGGGGGAGGGGGAACUGAGGCAAAGGUUCCCGUCCCAUUCUUGUUGUGAGAGGAAGAGACAUGAGUACCUUUAGCCACUUCCUUAGCGGAAUUGGCCUCCGACUCUGAUGCGGUGGUAUUGACAACAAGCAAAGGAUCGGGAGAAGCUUUCAUCCCCUCAAGCAAUUCUUUAAGCAUAGACUUGACUUUGGUCAUCAUAGACGUCUUAAGUGAAGCCAUAGCUUUAUUUAAGUCGUCUCGUGUGAUGGAAGUCAACUCUACAGCCUCGAGCACUUCCUCCCCGGUGUCAACCAUACUCUUUGGGUGGUGAAACCCUUAAUAAAGAGACGAGGCUCUGAUACCAAUUGAAAGGAUUGAUAUGGUUGACUAGAGGGAGUGAAUAGGCAACUACCAAUUUUUAGCUUUUCUUAACAAAUUAGGUUUAGCAACAAAAAAGGUUGUCUAGAUGUGCAACUAGGUGAGCAACCUAUAUGAUGCAAACAACAAAGUUCCUUCCCUUUGGGGGAAGUACGUCUCCGUUGGAGCGGUGUGGAGGCACAAUGCUCCCCGAGAAGCCACUAGGGCCACCGUAUUCUCCUCACACCCUCACACAAUGCAAGAUGUUGUGAUUCCACUAGUGGCGCCCUUGAAGGCGGCGACCGAACCUUUACAAACAAGGUUGGGGCAAUCUCCACAACUUGAUUGGAGGGUCCCAAUGAUGCCACGGAGCUUCACCAUAAUGAAAUGUGGCUCCGAGGUGACCUCAACCAUCUAGGGUGCUCAAACACCCAAGAGUAACAAGAUCCACAAGGGAUUAGUGGGGGGAUCAAAUUUCUCUUGGUGGAAGUGUAGAUCCGGGCCUUCUCAACCAAACCCUAGAAAAUCAACAAGUUUGAUUGGUUAGGGAGAGAGAUCGGGCAAGAAUGAGCUUUGGAGCAACAAGCUUGGGGGAAAAGAGGUAGAUCUUCUUGGGGAAGAAGACCCCCUUAUAUAGUGGGGGGGACAAUCCAACCAUUAUCCCCUCAUUCAGCCUGCAGCGAGCGGUACUACCGCUGGCCGCAGAGGUACUGCCGCUCGGCCCAGCGGUACAACCGCUGGGACCGUGCACAGCGCCUAAGGGAGAAGGGACGGAGGAGAGGGCCACUGAGCGGCACUAAUAGCGGUAGUAGGCGCGGUACUACUGCUUACAAGCGGUACUGCCGCUCCUACUGCCGCUGAACCCGACACAAGACACGCAGGUCUCGAGUCGAGGCGGUACUAGCACGAAACCAGAGCCGUACUACCGUCUGUGGCCAUGGACGGUACUACCGCUGUGAAACAGCGGUACUACCGCUUGUGGCUUUCAACCGUACUGCCGCUCCGGGCCGUGGUACUACCGCUGGCGCCUCCCUUAUGCCACUUCCACGAUAACAAGUAUACUCCAAGGAUGAGGGAAGGAGUUGGGGGUGCGAAAGAGAGAUGUGUACGUGUUGAUUCCACCCUAGCCUUUCUGAUAUGCACCCCCUCUUGAUAGUACGAUAUCUCCUACGACUCAAGUCCACCUAAACCGAAACGAAAGAUAACUACACCGUCUUCACUUUGAGCUCCGAGGGGAAUAAAUUGUCUCGUGCCAAUGAAUGAAUAUCUAAAAUGCUCAACGCACACGAUUAGUCCGCAAAUGCAUUGUCAUCAAACACCAAAACCACUUAGAGAGAGAUAUGCCCUAACACCAUGGCAUGCUUGUUGGUUGCCAACUCGAAGGAGAAGAUCUGUUGCAUCUGGUGGUAGUUCUGGAUAGGUGAUACGUCUCCAACGUAUCUAUAAUUUUUUAUUGUUCCAUGCUAUUAUAUUAUCUGUUUUGGAUGUUUUAUAUGCAUUAAUAUGCUUAUCUAUAUUAUUUUUGGGACUAACCUAUUAACCUAGAGCCCAGUGCCAGUUUCUGUUUUUUUCCUUGUCUUAGAGUUUCGCAGAAAAGGAAUACCAAACGGAGUCCAAAUGGAAUAAAACUUUCGCGAUGAUUUUUCUUGGACCAGAAGACAUCCAAAGGACUUGGAGUGCAAGUGAGGGAAGCCACGAGGUGGCCACAAGGACAGAGGGCGCGCCCAGGGCGGUAGGGCGCGCCCCCAACCUUGUGGGCCCCUCGUGACUCCAUCGACCUAUUUCUUGCGCCUAUAUAUUCUCAAAUAUUCCAAAACCAAUCAGGAGAGCCACGAAAACACUUUUCCACCACCGCAGCCUUCUGUACCCGUGAGAUCCCAUCUAGGGGCCUUUUCCGGCAUCCUGCCGGAGGGGGAUUCGAUCACGGAGAGCUUCUACACCAACACCAUUGCCCUUCCGAUGAAGCGUGAGUAGUUUACCACAGACCUACGGGUCCAUAGCUAGUAGCUAGAUGGCUUCUUGUCUCUCUUUGAUUCUCAAUACCAUGUUCUCCUCGAUGUUCUUGGGGAUCUAUUCGAUGUAAUACUUUUUUGCGGUGUGUUUGCCGAGAUCCGAUGAAUUGUGGAUUUAUGAUCAGCUUAUCUACGAAUAUUAUUUGAACCUCCUCUGAAUUCUUAUAUGCAUGAUUUCAUAUCUUUGCAAGUCUCUUCAAACUAUCGAUUUGGUUUGGCCAACUAGAUUGGUUUUUCUUGCAAUGGGAGAAGUGCUUAGCUUUGGGUUCAAUAUUGCGGUGUCCUUUCCCAGUGACAGUAGGGGCAUCAAGGCACGUAUUGUAUUGUUGCCAUCGAGUAUAAAAACAUGGGGUUUCCAUCAUAUUGCUUGAGUUUAUUCCUCUACAUCAUGUCAUCUUACUUAAUGCGUUACUUUGUUCUUCAUGAACUUAAUACUCUAGAUGCAGGCAGGAGUCGGUCGAUGUGUGGAGUAAUAGUAGUAGAUGCAGGCAGGAGUCGGUCUACUUGAUACGGACGUGAUGCCUAUAUUCAUGAUCAUUGCCUUAGAUAUCGUCAUAAUUUUGCGCUUUUCUAUCAAUUGCUCAGCAGUAAUUUGUUCACCCACCUUAAUAUUUUCUAUCUUGAGAGAAGCCUCUAGUGAAACAUAUGGCCCCCGAGUCUAUUUUCCAUCAUAUAAGUUUCCGAUCUACAAUAUUAGUUUCCUAUUUAGUUCCUUUGCAAUCUUUUACUUUCCGAUAUAUAAACCGAAAAUACCAAAAAUAUUUACUUUACCGUUUAUCUAUCUCCAUCAGAUCUCACUUUUGCAAGUAACUGUGAAGGGAUUGACAACCCCUUUAUCGCGUUAGGUGCAAGUUGUUGAUUGUUUGUGCAGGUAUUCGGUGACUUGUUCGUUGUCUCCUACUGGAUUGAUACAUUGGUUCUCAAAACUGAGGGAAAUACUUACUCUACUUUGCUGCAUCACCCUUUCCUCUUCAAGGGAAAAACCAACGCAAGCUCAAGAAGUAGCAAUAGGGGUGUUGAGGAACUCAGCGUCCUUGGGGUGAGCGUAAGAAGAAAUAGGGUAGACAGGGUAGUUAGUAUGGCAAUGGUUCAUAGGCUUGAAUUGUUGGUCUGUUAGAAUGGCAUGGUUUGUGAGCUAACCACGACAUGGCCUUGGUAGUGCUCUACCUCCAGAAGGAUCAAGUAGGUGUCCUCAUCCCAUGAAGCACCACUAAGGUCUCUGAGCUUGGACACUUGGAUCCAUCGAGCUCUCCACUUCCUCAGGUGGUUGUACACCUGGGUCGAGGUGACCUCCUAUCCACAGAAGUCGAACACCUGCUUUGCAAUAAGGUUCAAGUGCACCUCCUUGAAGCCCUUGUCAGUCCUCACCCCACUAGCUAUGAUCUCACACAUCUUGUUAAGCACAAAAGUGAAGAGGAACGGCUGCCACUUCAUGCUAUUCCCCUUGCCAUCCUUCUUCUCCUCUGCUGCUACCUUAAGAGCAGCAACAUGAGCAACAGCAUUGGGCUAAGCCAACACAAAUGGAGGAACCAUAGGCGGCACCUCGAAAACCUCUAAAUCAAGAGGCAUCUGUUCUAGAGGAGGCUGGGGGUCCUUGACGUAGGAUGGCGGGAACUGGCUCUUGGACAGCACGAUGGCCUGACUAAACUCUUGCUUGGUCAUGUCCUACAAACGUAAGUGUCAUCAACACCACAAGACACUACACAUAGACAGUAUGAACUAGCAGUACAAUAUGGACAGAUCGAACUAGCAGUACAUCUUCGACAGAUCAAACUAGCAUUACAUCUUGGACAGAUCAAACUAGCAUUACAUCUUGGACAAAUCAAACUAGCAGUAACACAUGCACAAGCAUACCACAGCAUAACAGAGCACUAAUCAUGGAGAACAGAGCACUAAUCAUGGACACAUGGAUGAUCUUGUUCAACACUUGCACACUAGCAUACCACCGAUUCAUCCAUGACCACUAGCUACCAACACUUCACUGGUACGCGUCGGUGCUAUACAAACGGUUUUAACCCCUUUCCGCGAUGGCAUUUGGAACCAUCGCCAAGUGAGUGUGGGCGAUAGGGGGGUCCUUCCCACACGACCCAGAAACCGUCGGGUAUAGGCCCUCCUGGCACACAGGCUGGGGAAAAAUGAGCUCGUGUGCGAUCGGGCGAGGCAUCGAAACCCAAUCGUUUCCAUUGUAUGUACAUCCCACACGGUGAAUCCCAGAAAAACAUUUCCGUUCUUAUGUAUAUCACACACAGUCAAUUCAAGGAAUACAUUUCCGUUCUUAUGUACAUCCCACACAGUCAAUCGAGGGAAAACGUUUUCGUUCAUAUGUAUAUCACACACAGUCAAUCCAAGAAAUACGUUUCCAUUCUUAUGUACAUCCCACACAGUCAAUCCAGGGAAAACGUUUCCGUUCGUAUGUAUAUCCACACAGUUUUAUGUAUAGGCUCGUGUGUGAAAGGUGUAACUAUCACGCACGCUCUGCCUUGGUUAACCGUUUGCUUUUAUCAACUACACCACACACGAUUUGAUGAAGAAAACUGUGUGGCAUUGGGCUAUCCAUCACAAGCGCUUUUACUGCCAGAACCGUUUGCAAAGUUCGAUGACUCAUUUAGCAGGUUUAUUAGUUUACAAUUAAUAAUUCCAGUAUUACGCAAAUUCACAUUUCAUAUCGAACAGCUGUUUGCCAAUUUCAUACCAGGCACAUAAAUAUAUUUUAACAUCACAGUACAAUAGCUACCUGAAAACAGCACAACACAGCAUAUAGCUAGUUCAACUUCAUAAGAACAAUAUAUACAUUUCCUUAAUCGAGAUCAUCCAGGCACGUCUUAUCCACCUCUGCUUUAAGUUCAGUAAGAACCUGUUUUGCACUGUCCAACUGGAAAAGUGCCUCCUCCUUCGCCAACACCAUCUUAGCAAAGUCUGAUUUAAAAAAAUCUGAGCUCAUUCUCCACCUUCCUCUUUUUAUCCCGCAUCUUCAAAUAUUCUUCAGCAUUGACAACACUUUCUCUAAGCCUACCUCUGUUCUCUUCCUCAUACAUGCUCUAGAGCUUUGUUAGGCACAUCUUCAAAGACUGUGGCCACUCUUGAUCAACCCACUCCAAGUAAGAACACUUCCAUUCAUCCUAUAAUAUUUAAAACUAGAUCGGUAACAAUUGUAGGGGAAAUGUGUUUAUAGCAACAUAGAAAAUCACCAAUAUUUAUUUUGAAAAACUGAAGAAACAGGUUAAUUAUGACAUAUCUUCUCAAAAAGAUCAAUGUGCAAAUGAAUUAAUUGCUACUGAGACAACAACCAAAUUCUAAAACAUCAGAAGCUAUAAGUAACUACAACAACGCUACAAGUUCUUACUCAUGUACUAUAAAUAACAAAUUGAACAUUUUAUGAGGAAUGUAAAUAACUGCAACAGCAUAGCGACAGUGUUUGGAUGACAGCAAAUUGAUACUAACAGGUGUGUACAUGCACAAAAUUAGUAACACUAAACUAAUAGCACUAAGGUCGUCCACUAUGUAUGCCAAAACCGGUGUAAAGACAACUGUUACUACAUCUCGCACCGGAGCCCUGCACUGGCGAGCCGAUGCAGCAGAAAAAAAAUCAGGGACCCGGACUCCGGAGCACCUAGUUGCUCCGAUGCCCAAUUCCUUCGUGUCAUAAAGAUUUAGUAUUUUACUGCUUGGCUGCUCGGAUGUGUGGACCAAAGUUGGCUGCACAAACUGCUGAAGCGGUGCCAAAUAAUUUUCUAAUGGCACCGCUGAUGAGAUGGCAACUUUUUUAGAUACUAGGUACAAACUGUGACACUAUCUUAGGAUGCGUUUGGUUGAAGGUGUGGUAUGAAUGGGUUGGGACCGUGACAGUGUCUGAAUCACAUGUAACAAAUGAUUUGUAACAACGAAAGAGGGUCUCACCUUCUCUGCACAUGCCAGAAACUUCCUCCCACGGUCCAUAGAUUCAAACGCAACUACCUUCACGCAUGGAGAUUGAUGGUGACAAUGAGCAGACAAAUCUUCAGCCACCCCGCUCCAUUCGUUGCAAUUGAUGGUCCUAGGGAGCUACAAGAGCAAGAAAUGACUCAAAUCGACCACCGGGUUAAAAUCCUUCAUUCCAAGUCAUAGCCCGAGAGAGAGAAGAGAGGCAUACCUGGGUGGUGAAGGAGUCGAAGGAGGAGGAGGAACCGUUGGAGAGGUCAUUAAAGAAGACCAUGGUGACCCCGGCGGUAUGCGAGAUGGCGAGAGCGAGGAAGCAAGUGAGGAAGCGGCUAUAGCUAAGGAAGGAAGGAGGAAACAUGGGAAAUGUGACUUGUGGUCGGGAAGAAAAGGGGGUGGGGAAGGGGGGAGGGGCGGGGUAGAUAUUUUGGUGGUAGGCCAAAAUUUUGGAAAUGUGGAGGGAAACUUUGCGCGCGGUGCCGCCGGACACCAUUCACUUUGAACGAUUGUGUGCAUCGCAAACGAUUCUUCUGCUUUACACGCAUGGGAUGAGUUUAAUAAUUCAAAUUUUCAUGGAAAUUUCCCUGGGUUCGUCAUUUCAUAAUUUAACAUCACUUGCUAAUUUGGGCACACAAAAGAGCGUACAGCACACAAACCACGCUUACUGAAUCGAGCAAUUUUAGUAAUUCAACAGAGCCAGUUGACCUUAACAUUGCUCUAACAAAAGACCAGCAUUAAAAACAAAGCCUAAGUACGCAUAAUUUUAACAUAUCCGCCGCCGCGCCGGCCUAUGCAUCGCCGGUGUGAGAUGAGACGUCGAUGACUUGUCCUGGCGACAUGCCGCUGUUGGUGGACUCCGCGUCCCCCCUGCUGAAGCCGACUGCGUCCUCGUCCUCGUCCUUGGCGCCGCCCUCAAGGUUGUAGUACUCGUAGUAGUGGCUGGGCCAGAGCCCGCGUUGGUACUCCAUGGCCGAUUCCUCGACGAACAGACUCUUCUCUACCUCGGCCUCGACCACGCGCAACUCCUCCUCCUGGCGCUCCUCGAUCUCUAUCGCCUCCUGCAUCUCCAGCUCCCGCUCGGCGACCUCAUGAGGAAGCAGGUGCUCCAUGGCCACCGCCGCCUUUUCAAACGUGGGUUGCAUGCUGGAGUCCGAGGUGGCCUGGAAUAUCUUGGCGUGUGCAUCCUCGAUCUUGGUGUGGAUGGCAUCGACCCGGGCCAGGGCCACAUCGGCGGCACGGACGGUAGCUCGAGCGCUCUCGGUGUUUGCAGCCGCCGUUGCAGCAACAGCUGCAGCCGUCUCGGCUGCCGCAGAUGCCCUCUCGGCGGAUGCGGCGGCACUCUAGGCGUAGGCAGACGCGCUCUCGACGAAGGCGGCGGCGCUCGGGGAGGACCCGGCCAUCGUAUGGGCCUUCACGAAGCGUUUCCACGGCGUCAUAUUUGCAAGAAGGGGGUGCGGGAAUGGGGAUCGGGAUUUGUGGAUUCGGGGGUUGCCGAAACUGGAGCAGACGAGCCGGCGAAGCUUAAGGAGGAAGACUUAAAUAGACCCAGAAAUUUUCAUCGCAAACGGUUCCUACAAAAAAUUUGUGUGUGAUGUUGUGGAUAUUUUUUAUUAGCUGUGAAAGACGAAUUUGGAGUAAAGUGGCAACGGAUGGUGUUUUAAAUGUACAAGAAAAUUUGUAGUACUAAUACAACUGUCAUGUAAAAUUUUGGAAAAUUUCAGGGGUCAUUUGACCUUUUAAGACAUUUAAGUGACUUUCUAGCCAUUUAAUGACCGUAAUUCAAAUUUGAACUACAUCUACAUGGAAGAGCUAACCAUAAUGGUUUGAAAAGUCAUAUUUUGUGUACUUGUGCGCGAUUUAAUUCCAUGUGCAGUAAAUUGGAAGAAAUUUUCACAUAUAUUUGUCUAACGGCUAUGACACAUAUAAGCAUGGAGUGCCAUGGCAUUUAAAUUCCAAAAAAAAGAUUAGAAACACAUGAAACCUUGCUUGAUGUAAUGUCAUACCACCAAGAUGAUGUGGUAAAAAAUUGGGCAUGUUUAACGAAAGUUUGGACACACACCCCUCACAAACUAAAGCAACUCACUAGAAGGCUCGUGGUUCCGAGAGGGAACAAUGUAUGUUUGAUGACGCACGGGCGAUAGCUUCCCCUUACGGCCUUCAAAUUUUUUCUACAUUUAACGUGCACUAAUACAACUGUCAUGUGAAAAUUCGGACAGGGGUCAUUUGACCUUUUAAAGACAUUUAAGUGAUUUUCUAGCCAUUUAAUGAACGUAAUUCAAAUUUUAACUACAUCUACAUGCAACAGCUAACCAUAACGGUUUGAAAAAUCAUAUUUGUGUACUUGUGUGCAUGUUAAUUCCAUGUGCAAUAAAUUAGAAGGAAUUUUCAAACAUAUUGGUCUCACGGCAUGGACACAUGCAUGGAGUGCCAUGGCAUUUAAAUUCGAAAAAAUAAAAAAAUGAUCAGAAAAAAGUGAAACCUUGCUUGAUGUAAUGUCAUUCCACCAAGAUGAUGUGGUAAAAAAAUUGGUCUGUUUGACGAAAGUUUGGACACACACCCCUCACAAACCGGAGCAACUCACUAGAAGGCUCCUGGUUCUGAGAGGGAACAAUGCAUGUUUGAUGACGAACGGGAGAUAGCUUCCCCUUACGGCCUUCAAAUUUUUUCUACAUUUAACAUGCACUAAUACAACUGUCAUGUGAAAAUUUGCAAAAUUUCAGGGGUCAUUUGACCUUUUAAAGACAUUGAAGUGAUUUUCUAGCCAUUUAAUGACCGCAAUUCAAAUUUGAACUAUAUCUACAUGCAACAGCUAACCAUAACGGUUUGAAAAAUCAUAUUUGUGUACUUGUGUGCAAGUUAAUUCCAUGUGCAGUAAAUUAGAAGGAAUUUUCAAACAUAUUGGUCUCACGGCAUGGACACAUGCAUGGAGUGUCAUGGCAUUUCAAUUCCAAAAAAUAAAAAAUGAUCAGAAAAACAUGAAACCUUGCUUGAUGUAAUGUCAUGAUACCAAGAUGAUGUGGUAAAAAAAUUGGCCUAUUUGACGAAAGUUUGGACACACCCCCCUCACAAACCGGAGCAACUCACUAGAAGGCUCGUGGUUCUGAGAGGGAACAAUGCAUGUUUGAUGACGAACGGGAGAUAACUUCCUCUGAUGGCCUUCAAAUUUUUUCUACAUUUAACGUGCACUAAUACAACUAUCAUGUGAAAAUUUGAAAAAUUUCAGGGGUCAUUUGACCUUUUAAAGACAUUUAAGUGAUUUUCUAGCCAUUUAAUGACCGUAAUUCAAAUUUGAACUACAUCUACAUGCAACGGCUAACCAUAACGGUUUGAAAAAUCAUAUUUGUGUACUUGUGUGCGAGUUAAUUCCAUGUGCAGUAAAUUAGAAGGAAUUUUCAAACAUAUUGGUCUCACGGCAUGGACACAUGCAUGGAGUGCCAUGGCAUUUUAAUUCUAAAAUAUUAAAAAAUGAUCAGAAAAACAUGAAACCUUGCUUGAUGUAAUGUCAUGCCACCAAGACGAUGUGGUAAAAAAAUUGGCAUGUUUGACGAAAUUUUGGACACACACCCCUCAUGAACCAGAGCAACUCACUAGAAGGCCCAUGGUUCUGAGAGGGAACAAUGCAUGUUUUGAUGACGAACGGGAGAUAGCUUCCCCUUACGGCCUUCAAUUUUUUUCUACGUUUAACGUGCAAUACUACAACUGUCAUGUGAAAAUUUGAAAAAUUCUAGGGGUCAUUUGACCUUUUAAAAACAUUUAAGUGAUUUUCUAGCCAUUUAAUGACCAUAAUUCAAAUUUGAUCUACAUCUACAUGCAACGGCUAACCAUAACAGUUUGAAAAAUCAUAUUUUUGUGUACUUGUGUGCGAGUUAAAAAAUCAUCAGACGAUGUAAAUAUCUGGUGUUCAAAAAAGAAAAUGUAAAGAUCUGGCAAGACAACCGGCCCCCACACGAUUGGCACUCUAUUUCGUGGCUCGAGGUUUGGUAGGUGAGUGGCGGGGGGUCAUUAAUCAGACACGGUUCUGUAUUGGAAACCAUCAGCUAUUAAGUUCACACACGGAUUUUGCUGCGGGAAUCAUGUGUAAUUCAUACUACAGUACUUGUAAAUUCCGGCGACCGGCGUGUGUACUGUUCCCGUCGAUCUAGAUUCUGGUCGCCAAUAAAUACUACCUUGCUCACGUCGUCCCGCCUGCAUUCUCAUCUACAUCCUCUCCUCGCUCGCCCUCUCUCUCUCUCUCUCAAAUCUCUGCCAUGGCGCCGCCGGUCUGCCCACGCGCCGAUGAGGAGUCGCCGCCCCCCGAGGACGCUCACUCGAAUAGCAGCGACGAGGACCCCUACGCACCACCGGAUGAGGUUGCGCCGGACCCCCCAACUUUGGAUUGGUUUUGGGGGCAGUACAAUCUUUGUCUGUGGAAGUCGCUGUCGCCGGCUGAGAAAGCCAGGAAAGUGGCAUUCAAGAAGGAGAUGGCGGAGGAGGAAGCCAGGUACCAAGCGGCCUGUGAAGCCCGUGAUGCCACCUGGAAAAAGGAGGCGGCAGAGCUUUGGGGGCGGGCGCGUCGUCGUGCGGAAGAGGUGUACGAAGACGGGUACUUCGCGAGGAAGGCCAAAGGCGCUGGGCGCCUCAUCACUUCGUGGAGGUGGGCCGAUAAGCUCCAGCAUGCCACCAACGAGGAGCUCCAGUGGGCGCCCAACGAAAUGGCAAGAUCGUUCGCGCUUGUCCGCCAGCAAGAGGUAGAUCGGUACGUCAAGUGCUGCAAGGCGGAGGAGGCAGAGUACUGCCUCCGCACUGGGAAGACGCCGCGCACCAGGGAGCUGCUGGCGAGGGGCUGCCGGAAUACUGGCCCCAGGAGGGAUUAUUAGUUUUAGUAUUGUUCGUUUUUCACUUUAUGCAUGGUAUCUAGUAGUUAAGUAUCAUCACUUAUAUGUGAUGAUAAUAUAUAUAUUAUGUGAUGAACCGAUGAAUAAUUAAUAUAUAUAUAUAUAUAUUAUGAAUUCCAUUUUCUAUCUGUUUUUGUAUACUAAUUUGAAUCUAGCUGUUAUCAUCCACGUAUACAGAAUGGAAAGCGUAUAUACAGACAUUGAAACAGAACAUAUAAGAACGGAAAACAGAGUACACACAUUGAAACAGAGCAAUACUAUGAUUGCUGUGAAUACAUAGCUAUCCACGUCGAAACGACUCAACAAAAUAAAACGCGUCCAUGAGACCAUGACCAGCAACCCUUGCCUACGGUAGCUCUUGGCUCUGCCUGAACUCAUGCAGGCGUUCGUCCAAGCGGUCGACACGCUCGCGGUACAUUUGGAGCGAAAUCUUGAGCUCCAAGUUGGCUAUUUCAUCAGAGGUCACCAGCUCGAGGAUGCGACGGCCAUGUUCCUCUACUGCGCCCAGGUGGACACCUAGGCCAAGGAGGCGGUCGAGCCUACCGACCAGCACGUUGGCAUCGAGCGGGCCGCGAACAAUGCGAACGGCGCGACCCAUGCGAACAGCGCGGCAGGCGUCCGGUGCAAGUACGGCGCAGAGGGCCUCUGCCCACUCCUAGAGAGGAAUGGGGGUACUGGCGGGACGUGUACCCAACUGUGACGCCCUGUUGACAGCAGGCAAGCGUUGAUGGAUCCGCUCUUGCUGUGGGGCGCGCCGCGCCUCUCGCUCUGCGGUGCUCCAACGGUCUCGCCGUGCGGCGAGCCGCAGCCUAUCGGCGCGGAUGCGCCUAGCUUGCUCUACGGUACACCAUCGAUCACGUUGUGCAGCGAGCUGCAGCCUCUCGGCGUUGACAUGCCUAUCUUGAUCCGCGGCGCUGAAGCGCCAUGCGCCAAGGGUCUGCUCAACCCUGGCGAUGACGCGCAUCACGACGUCGUCCAUCGCGUUGUCGGGGAGCUCCUCGGCCUCGACGGGCCGUGGCGCCUGCUCAUUUUCCUCGUCGACGAGGUUGAUGUCAGAGGCGGCGCUUUGGUGGGUUGGCAUGCUUGGAAAAGGUGGAUGUGCUACAGGAUGCGCUUGUUGCCUACGUGCGUCGCGCGCCGCCUAGGUUUAUGUGCAAUAUCGCUGGGUGGCGGGAAACAGGUGAGGAAAUGGCGGAAAAUGGUGGCGUUUUCAUAAAACACCAUCAAUUAAUGGAAACUUAGCAUGUAAGGAACAUCGAGCUAGCACAAGAAGUAGAUGAUGAUCAGAUGAACACGGACCACACUAGGGAACCCAUCGGUGAUGAACUCAUCAAUCGCAAACGGUUGUAUACUAGCAAGCGUUUGCCCACAACACACACAGCUUAUUUCAUCACAAACAGGUCGGAUGGAUCAAGUGUAUGCCACAUAUCGCACAUUGUCAAAAAUUAAUGCGGUAGACCUUCUUUAACAUGUGUUAAAAAACAAGGACCUCGAGGUUAAUUUAACUGAUGGGAUGGAUCAUAUAGGUCAUUUAAUUUGACCUGUAUGACCCAUCCCAUCAGUUAAUUUAACAUCAAGACAACUUCCCAUCCAGUCACCCGUCUGAUGGUUGCUCCAGCCUGAGCACAGUUAACUUGAGAGUUCUCUUAGAUGAGCUAUUGGUGGAACAGCUAGUCCUUACUGAUAUAGGAUGCCUCUUCGCAUCCUUACUACGUACCCGGAUGACCGCCCGUCGCCCAAUGGCCAAUAGAUGUUCUAUAGACAGAGCAUAUCACAUACGUCUUAUUAGAAGCAAUCGUCUGUGUUAUUAUCGGUCUUUGCACACAUUUUUUAUUACAGACCUGUUUGCUGCGUAUCACACACAUCUUGUUAUAUCGAACCGUUUAUGUUCUCUUGUCUCAACACAAACAGUUCAUCCGAGUGAACCACAUGCCAUAUAUCGUACACACCUUGAUCUGGCUGACCGUUUUUUUUGUGUUGCCUAACCACAAACAGUUCAUCCGAGGUGUUGUAUAACGCACACACCUUCAUCUGGUUGCCCGUUUCUUUUGUUCCUCCUCAUCGCAAACAGUUAAUUGAACUGAACCGUAUGCCCUGCAUCGAACACGCAACUAAAAUCUAAACCAUGUUUGAUGCAUCCGUCAUUGCAAACGUUUUGCACCUUUUUGACGGGUUUUUUACACCACCGUUUGCGAUUAUGGCAUCGCACACAGUUUCGUCGAAGGGUCUCUGAUCGUAGUGCCGCGUUAGCAGCAUCCUGCAGUAGUGCUUGCCCACAUGGAAACAAUCCCUAGCAUGCUCCAAAUCCAUCACAACUAGCUACUACACCAUCACAGUCAAACAGAUCGGACGGCCUAACCUUAGAACAUGGACAGAUCUAGCUAUAACUAGAAGAGAGGAGGUGGUGAUUGAACUUACAGAGGCCAUUGGAACGACCGCGUAGGAGGUGCCUGGCACGUCAGAAAGGAGGAGGAGUCGACCCGCCGGCGUAGUCGACCGGUCGCCGGAGUAGAUGCGCCGCUUACCUCGUCGUUGAAGUGGAUCCACGCUGGAGGGAAAGCUCAAGGAGGGGGGAAUGGUGGCUGGAGUUUUGCCGCGGCGGUGACCCUCGAUAUAUAGGGCGACCAAAUCGGCGGGCGGUGACUCGAAUUCGUCCCGUCGCUUUUUGGAUAUGCACCAUCGCUCCCGCCAUCUCCCUCCCAUGCGCGGCGCGGCGCGGCGUUCCCCUCCCCUGCAUCACUCGAGCCUGGCUCGCUGGAAACAACCGAUUCGGUCAUUCCUAGCGGGCCAGGAUGAGGGGUGCUUUGAGGUUCAUGCUAUGCGGACCAAACAAUAAACACAGGCAUCCAAACAGCCAUUUUCAUCCUGUGAGGGCCCGGCUGGGCCUAAUGCAGGCUACCAGACGCGUCCUUAAUGGAUUGUAUGAAACAAUGAAAACUUAGAGAAUGGACAAAACCAAGUGUGUUUGUGCAACACACCUCAAUGAAGUAAAAUAGAAGUUCAUGGUGUGAUCACAACCCGAAAUAGAUGAACAGAUUGUUCAUUAGUACAUGCAACACUAUAAUAUACAUUUCUGCACCAGAGCUCAUCAGAUCUCAGUGAACAGUAAAAUGAAAAAAAAAUACUAGAAAAAUUCAAAAAAAUCUGAACUUUUUUUUGCAAGUAAGAUGUUUGAAUGCGUGAGGUCCGUGCCAAUUUUCAGCACGUUUGAACAUCUGAGUAGCUCUCGGCAAAAAAAGGAUCCAAACAGUGCACGAACAAUAAACUUUUCACAGACCCUGAUUUUAUUUUUUAUAAGAGCUACUCAGAUAUCAAAACACACUCAAAUUGACAAGAACAUCACGCAUUCAAACAACUUUCAUGCCAAAAAAAUUAAAAAAUGUAAAAUUUCUAGUAUUUUUCUAUUUUACUGUUCACGUCGCAGUCGCGCGCCGCCACACUCACUUGCACAAAGAAGGGCCUGGCAGCGAGCUCAAGACAUCAGAAGUGUAUCUUGGAGCGACGGAAGUAGAGCCCACAUCCGUCCACUGGCUUCGACGAAUCCGAGUCAUGGAAGGUGGCAGGGAGGAGGUACAGCGAGUCGGCGACGACUGGGUCGAGGAGACGAUGAGCGUCGAGCGGGGAAAGCAUGAGGUCAAGGAGAGGUGUGGGAGGCCGGUGGCGGCGGUGCCAUACUUGGGAUCUUACGGAUUUAAGGAAAAAGGCAAUGGUGGGUGAGUCGGGGCACUGUGGCUCGACAACCAGUGCACGGCGUUGGUCGAACGGUUUGGAUCUGGUGGCAGGUUGUAGGAUCGAAAGGAGUGUCUAGGAGGGGUGAAUAGACAACUAGCAUGAGUCAAUGGGCAAUCUUAAGUUCUUUAACAUUUAGGCGGAUUUUAGCACAAUCUAAAGUAGUACAAGCAUACUCUACACAAGCAUACCUAGAGCAUAGGCAACAGAAAGAAAAAUCGGUCAUGCCCGUGCAAGAAAGUAAGGAGUAGAAUUUGAGAGAAUCGCAAACAAUGGUUGACACAGAAGAUUUUUGACCCGCGGUCCCGAUAGGUCGUGAUAUCGUACGUCCACGGUUGAUGGAAGCUUCAAUCAUAAGGAUUACGUUUAUGGAUUCCAUAGAGGAAUCGAGUCCACAGAGGGCUCACACACACGAAGGAUCCAUGAAGAAGCAACAUUGCCUAUUCCAUCAUGGCAUACACCCAUGAAGGGUUGGCCUCACUAGGGUAGAUCUUCACGAAGUAGGCGAUUUUCUUGCCCUCACAAACUUCUUGGUUUCUCCACACGAUUUGGAGACUCCCAAGCAAACCUAGCCAAUCUAGGAGGCACCAUCCUCCAAAAGGUAAUAGAUGGUGUUGUUGAUGAUGAACUCCUUGCUCUUGUGCUUUAAAACAUAAUCUCCUUAACACUAAUACUCUCUCAUAGAUUUUGACUUUUGGAUAGGAGUGGUUUGGGUGGAAAGCAAUGAGGUGACUAGAAAUCAAAGGAUCAACGGUUCGAGUGGAUCCCUUUGAAAUCAACACAAGGAAUGGGAGCUCUCUCUCUCUCUCUGAAAUAUGGAUGUGUAAUGUGUUUACUUCGAGAGACAAUGGUCGAGUGGGUGGGGGCAUAUAUAGGCGGCACAAAAAACUGACUGUUACGCACCUUUUAGCACAUCUUGGUGAGACCGGCUGAAAACACACGGUCAGACCGAAUAGUAGAAAUGUUUGAACUUUAGAUACUUUGGUGACUCCAGAUGAAACUAUCCGGUGACACCAAGUUGUGCUCACCUAAGCACUUUACACACUUCGGUAAUUCUGACUGAAACCAUUCAGAAAUUCAGAACGAGUUGUAGUAGGCAACACAAGGUUAUAAGUGAUCUUCGGUGAGACCAAAGGGUCAACUUGGUGGGACCGAAAAGUUAGGGUUUUAGGCAACGACUAUAUCAUGAUGGCUCGGUGACUCUGAUUGGUUUGGUUCAGUGAGUCCGAGUUGAACUUUUAGUUUGUGAAAUAGUGGGAUCAUGUGAAAUGAUAUGAGGAUUUGGGAGUUUGAUCUUUAAUCACUUGAGCAAUGAACUCAUCAUCUCCUCAUAAGUUAGAGACCUUUCGGUCCAAAAAACUGCCCUAAGCCAAUGUACAACGCAAUGCACUUAGGAGAGGUGCUUAAAGAAAUAAAUUAUUCUUCAAGCACCGAUGCUUAUUUGUAGAAGGUACAAGCCUAAUUAGAGCAUCUCCAACGCCGACCCUUAACCGCCCGCAACCGCACGGUCCAAACGUGUUUUGCCAUCCAACGCGGUUCUAUAAUAUGUAUCAGUCCAGACAUGUUUUUCCUCAAAAACCGGAAACAAACCGGGGUACUUUGCGGGCGUCUGGACCGUUGCCACGCCCGCAUCCAACAACCAUUGCCCACCCAAACCCUCCCCUCGCCCGCGCACUUUCCCUCUCGAAGCCAGCUAUUCGCGUGCCGCUCUAGAACAACCGCUCCGCAUUGACGCCGGGACGUGACCUCUCACUGGCACCCGCACUAAAGCGGAUCACUUGCCGAGGGCACCACCCACGCCGCGUUCCCGGUGUCCGCACAUGUUCAAUGCCGGAGUGACGUUUACUGGACGGGAUGGGACGGAUAUCUACCGUGCCCGUUUAAUGCCUGUUUGUCCGUCUGCCACCAUUAGUAGGCUCACCGGCCGAGGAAUCAACUCCGACGCCCGCGCAUUUGGCGCACUGGGAUGCUUAGCCUCACCGAAGUGUGCUAUUUAAAGGCGACCACAACACAUCCACUCCACAUCUUCCUCCCGUGCACCACAUCUGCCACGACCGCGAACGGGAACGCUUUCUGGAAGAGCCUCUCGACCCAGCAAAAACACGAGGUGGCCGCCUCGCAGAGGCGUCGUGCCAGGCAGAUCGAGACCGGCAUGUCGGCCAGCUCCCUCGUGUCUUCAACGGCAACCCCAUGACGGAGAUGGGCUUUGGCGACGACUCGGCGCGGGAGCCCGCGCCGGUGCAUGCCGACUUACCAUGGAGCAAGCGAGGCGCACUUCACUGUGGCCAUGGCGGAGGAGGGCAAAUUUGACAAAUUUAACCUAUAGACGAAAUCAAAUCACAGAAUGAACUAUCCGUGAAACUAUUUCACGCGGCUGACCUUUUUGUGUGACGCCCGACACGAAGGCGCCACACUACACUGUGUAACGCCUAACAGAUAGGCGCUACACGGCCAGCGUCGCACCCGUGUGAUCAGAAAAUUACUAAGUCAGUGUGCAGCGCCUGAGAGCUAGGCGCCACACUAUACAGUGUAGCGCCUAGCUCCUAGGCGUUGCACUAGUGCAGCGCCUAGCUCCCAAGCGUUGCACUAGUGCAGCGCCUGAGAGCUAGGCGCCAUUGCACUAGUGCAGCGUCUGAGAGCUAGGCGCCACGGGUCAGCCGCGUGAAAUAGUUUUACGGACAGUUCAUUCUGUGAUUUGAUUUCGUCUAUAAGUUAAAUUUGUCAAAUUUGCCGCAGAGGAGCAGCCUGUGUUGGCACCUAUUCCGGUAUUCUGCAGGCUUACAACUUGUUCCUCUCCUCCUCGUGCAACCCCAGCUGGCGGAGGGCCAAACCUACAGCAAGUGUGCGAGCGAGGAGGUCGUAGCGGCCAUGGCCACGGCGAACCCCAACUUCUUAACGCAGAGCUGGCGUAGCCAGAUGCGGAUGUGGCGCUGGGAUAGAGGACAAGAAGACAAGAACACUGCGCGUCCUAUGUGCAGGCAGGAUCAUUCGAGGGCGCAUGUGGCAGGAGGGCAGGCAUUUUCAUGUUCAGCCGGAAGAGUUUAGACAAGACUCUAAUUAGGCCUUGAACAAUCAAAAAAUUGUUUUUUUGUUAAACACGGAUCACAGGAGAAACGAGGCACCCCUCAUGUAAUUGGUGCUUUUUAGAAAGAAAAAAACUAAUAUUCGUAUUUUCUUAAGCUUUGCUCAUUGACUCCCCGGUGAGGCGGUACGGAUGUUCCGUUAAGCAAGGUUCCCCUACCAUAUCUGCAGUCGAUUUUGUUGCCGUGAGCAAAUCCCACUGGAAGCACUCUUAAGCAUACGAAUUACUAGUUCAGGCGUCUCCAAGCGAACAGAAGACACAUGCAUGAAGAUUCUACCAAGCACAGAAGCGCCAUUUAUUACCAAAGCUCUCCACGAACCAUUUCUACUGUCACUUGAAGAUAAUUUAACUAGGUACACCACUGACGGAUUUGUUACAGUAUUUCUCGCAACGGGAUACAGAAUCAGGCAAAACCGGGGCCAACACAUCCAACGACCAACUCUCGUCCCCCCCUCGCAAAAUCUGGCGUUGGAAGCUGCCUUGCCAAAACAUGUUUCCCCCUCCUCUACCUGUCUGCUGCUAGACAGACCGAUGCUCAGAGCUCGUCCUUCAGAGGCUCGGUGGCAGCCGGUUCCGCCGCCUUCUCGGUGUCCGCCGCAGCCGCCUGCCCAGCAGUCUCCUUGUUCUUCUUGAUGUAGUCUACGAUCUCGUCGGCCGUCCUGCCGCCCUCGUACGAGACCUUCUUCCCGCUGGGAGUGACGAAGUACAGGGUGGGGUAACCCUGGACAUCGAACUCACUGGGCACGUCAUUCGCGGUCGCGUCCUGUGGACAAGGUUGAGAAACAGUGGUUAGGUAAGUUGUAUUCCGUUGCUGGAACUGGAACGACAGAGAGGGCAACAAAUAUUACCAUCUUCGCGAUCACAACGUCCUCUUCACUUUGAAGGGUGGCAGCUGCCUCGUCGAGGAUGGGUGCUAGCUUCUUGCAGUGUCCGCACCAGGGUGCAUAGAACUCGAUAAGAACUGCAAUAUAAGGUGGCAAAUCAAUGAGCCAUUGUUUCACUUACAAGGAAUCGCAGUCACUUGUUACAACUAGCUUAAUCCAGCGAGGAAAAAAAAAUUAACAAAGAUGAAUACCAUUUUUGCCAGAUUUGAAGACCACGUCGUGAACGUUGUCAGCCACAACUACCUUAACAGGCUCAUUGUUGGCCUCAGGAAUAGGCUCAGACUUCCUGAAUGGUGUCAAUUUGCCAUCCUACAAUAUGAAUGAACACUAAUGAAAUUGCUAAACAGAUUACCUGGGAUCAAACAAAUAAGGUUGGUAUUACUACAACCAAGGGAAAAAGGAAUGGCUACUUACAAAGUAAUCCUUCAACCAAGCAACAAUUUGGCCAGCCUCAACCUGUUCCUUCAAAAACUUCUUCGAGUCACUGUCUUGAAUGAGGAUCAGUGGUGCCUGAUCCUCUUUCAGCCCGAAGUACUAUGUUUCAAAGAAAAAUCUGUUAGCACCAAGGAAAAAACAACAGUAUCGAUAACUACUACCUUUGUAAAGAAAUAUAGAAAGGGAAACAGGCAAUCAACCUGGAAAGCGCCUUGGCUCGCUUCAAUGUCACCAAUAAGGAACUUCACAUCCUUGCCACUGAACUCCUCUACAGCACCAUAGUAGGCUGAUUUGAAGGACUCAAACGGUCCAGUGGAGAAGUUCAAAAAGAGCAUGGCCUACAUACCAUUUGAUGUCAGAGAACAGAAGUGCCAAAUAAUGAGUGACCAAUAACUAAAAAACAAUGAAAAGGCUAAUGCUCUAAGCAGCUUCACCACUAGAAACAUAUAUCUGAACUGUUUUUACAGACAAAGCACUGAAAACACCAAAGAUGAUAUUCUGCAUCUCAAACAAUCAUCACAUCUAUGGCUCUGCAGUAGUAGACCUUUCAGGUACAACAACCAUGAAUGAAAACACAAAGAUCCAAAAGGCUAACAAAACUAAAUACACUAGUAAUCCUCCAAAUGUGCUGAACAAAUUCUUUGCAAGAUGAUUUCUUCAAAGGACCGACAAAUGACUAGAAUAUACUAAUCAAUCAUUCAUGUAAACAUGUUCAAGAAAAAAUUGACAAAUUCAACCAUCAUUGGAUUGCAGAAGUUUUUUGUACACACCAAGAGUCAGGCUGAUAAUCAAUUGAAACAACAUACAGCGAUCAACAUUAUGGCCUAAUUAGUUACAAACUUGAGGCAUAGACCUAACUGACUAAGCAUAUAGUAGAAAUUAGGCAACUAUACAGAACUCAUACAAUUACAAAAAAUGAUAAAGCAUUCUAGAAGCAAGUUGUGUCAGUCAUUACCUUGGGAGCAUUGGUCUGGAAGAAUUUCAGGAGGUAAGGAUGGUUGUCAGGGUUCUUGUCAAAAGUAACAACUUUCGGGGUGCUGCUAGCAUCAAUGAAUUUCUCCAAAGCAGAAACAUCAAAAUCCUGCAAAAUGUCACAUCACUAUGUUAAUACUCAGUAAUCUGUAUGAAGUAAGAAGAACACAGAUGAACACUCCCUCUGUUCCAGAUUACUUGUCACUAAAUUGUACUAAAUAAGCAAUAACUAAUAUGAACAGAGGGAGUAAUGAUUAGUUUACAGAGCGAGCGAAGUAUAACCUUGCUGUCAACAACGAGCUCAUCAAAUGGCUUGAAUAGCCUAACCAAUGGCCUCUCCACUGCUGCAUCACCACGUGGGAGAUGGUUGGCAUGCACGGUGUGGCCAAAGUCAUAAUCAGACCUCAGCUUCUCAGCAACCUCAAGGAAGUUUGUAAACUCAGUGCCGCUGAAUUCAGUGAAAACACCAACCUAUACAAUUAUCAUCAUUACUUAGUCAGCAGGCAUAGAACAUCAACCAUGGCUAUAUGACGAUUGCUAUUUGAAAGUAAGAACAGACAAAAUAAGAAGCUUACAAUGUGGAUCUUGCCGUCUUCAAGGUAAGUGGCAUCUUCAGGUGCCUUGAUCUCCUUGGAAGCAGGGCCAACCUGCUUCUUCAAGUACUCGACAAUUCCCUCAGCCUCCCUGGGGCCCUUGUAUUCCUGGAUGUUCUUUCCCCCGUUCCUGAAGAUCUUGAGGGUAGGGAAGCCCUGGACCUCGUACUUGCCCGCAAGCGGCUUGUUCUUCUCAUCGUUGGCAUCAACCUUAGCAAGGACAAUCGCUGGGUCGUGCUUGCUCAACAGUUGGGCCGCCUUCUCAUACUGCAACAUCACACAUCAACGAAUGAGAUCAAUCCAUUCAGCAUAUAACACCAGUGCUAAGUAAGUGGUCCAAGGAUGUAGAAGAAUUACCUCAGGUGCCAGGCUCUUGCAGUGUCCACACCUGAAACAAAAUUCAGACCAGACUAAGUGAGAUUGUACUGAAAUAAGUCGAACAGACAGAAUCUGCAAUACAUAGGUACAGUAUAAAGUUGGACGCAGUGGAAUCCCAACAGGGACCCCAGCCCAACAACCUCUAAACCCUCGAGGAACUUGAAAUCCAACCAAAACUUCAGAGGAAUCGGCGAUCCAGACGCACCGAUCAGCAAAGCCAGAUCCCCCGUCGUCCGCAACUGACGCAUCUGAGACAUCUCUAAACUGACCACGAUCUAAACCGCUCGGAUCCGCCGGAACAACACCCACACACACGCACAGACACCAGAGGCGAGG